rnacentral:rRNA from 1 species
CCUACGGGUGGCAGCAGUGAGGAAUAUUGGUCAAUGGGCGCGAGCCUGAACCAGCCAAGCAGCGUGAAGGAUGACUGCCCUACGGGUUGUAAACUUCUUUUAUAAAGGAAUAAAGUCGGGCACGUGUGCCUUUUUGUAAGUACUUUAUGAAUAAGGAUCGGCUAACUCCGUGCCAGCAGCCGCGGUAAUACGGAGGAUCCGAGCGUUAUCCGGAUUUAUUGGGUUUAAAGGGAGCGUAGAUGGGUUGUUAAGUCAGUUGUGAAAGUUUGCGGCUCAACCGUAAAAUUGCAAUUGAUACUGGUAGCCUUGAGAACAGUUGAGGUAGGCGGAAUGCGUGGUGUAGCGGUGAAAUGCUUAGAUAUCACGAAGAACUCCGAUUGCGAAGGCAGCCUACUAAGCUGCCACUGACAUUGAGGCUCGAAAGUGUGGGUAGCAAACAGGAUUAGAUACCCCAGUAGUC